UAGGGAAUAUUGGGCAAUGGACGCAAGUCUGACCCAGCAACGCCGCGUGAAUGAAGAAGGUUCUUGGAUUGUAAAGUUCUUUUAUAUGGGAAGAAAAAAAUGACGGUACCAUAUGAAUAAGCUCCGGCAAACUACGUGCCAGCAGCCGCGGUAAUACGUAGGGAGCAAGCGUUGUCCGGAAUGACUGGGCGUAAAGGGUGUGUAGGUGGUCUUGUGCGUCGUAUGUGAAAUCCCCGGACUCAAUUCGGGAACUGCAUACGAUACGACUUGACUUGAGUGUGGGAGAGGAUCGUGGAAUUCCUGGUGUAGCGGUAGAAUGCGUAGAUAUCAGGAGGAACAUCAGAGGCGAAGGCGGCGAUCUGGACCAUAACUGACACUGAGACACGAAAGCGUGGGGAGCAAACA
rnacentral:rRNA from 1 species